GCGACGGUUGCCGUGUGUGACGAACGACCGAUAAUAGUUUGUGUCUUUUAAAAAAUAUUUUUAGUCAUUAGGACAGCAAUAUUGUGUUUGUAUACGUCCGCCAUUACUGUCGUUCGUUCCCUUAACAGCCGCUAGAUGUAUCGUUAUCUCUCUCACUCCUUAUGAAAAACAUGAAAUACAAGAUUGAACAUUUGGCUAUUGAGAAAAAAAGCAUUAAAUCCGUUUUCCAAGGUUUUAAAUAUUGAAAAUAAGGCUUAGUAAGAUAACUCAAUAUCAAUAAAUCGGCCGCGGCUGCUUUAUGUUCAACCCUGAAGGGAAACUUACACAAUGAAUCAAUGAGCGCAAACACGCUAUCGG